CACUUCCUGUACAAAUGACAGAAAGCGGGUGGAUAUGAGUGACAACUGAGUGAAUAUUUUACGAAGAAGAAGAAGAAGAUAUUUGAACAAGAAUAGAAGUGGGAGGUGUGUGGGAUCUGGAUUUGCACAAAAAGAGAUGAUUUCUAUAGACCCUGGUCCUCUGCUGCCACCUAGUGGUAUGAUAUAAAGAAAAUUGUGUAGUAUAGAUGUUCCAUUCUUGUAACCUCUGGAUUCUUUAUAUUGAUAAAAGCUGUUGCUGACAUAGGAGCUAAUCGCCCGUAUUUAAGCUGACCGCACCUCCGCAAGUCUGUGCACAGAUCGACAAGCCCACUGGGAAUUUUCCAGAUGCUCCAGAUGGCUGGUCCUCUGUUUCUGCUAUCAUUGAUCUGCACCGCGAUCUGCUGACCUUUAACGGAGUGUUAAUUCAGCAGCCUCCCUCUGGAACCGAACACACUCCCACUGGAAGUGGAGCCGUGAUGAGGC